rnacentral:lncRNA from 1 species
CCAGGGUGACCGCUCACCCCAGUAUUCUGUUGUGUCAUAUCAACAGGUCAACUGCAGUCAGUAUCCCCAAACCAAAGGGAGAGUACUGUGCACCCGGAGCUCCCAGAUGGUGUGUGGCACAGAUGGUGUGACCCACAGCAGCGAGUGUAUGCUGUGCGACCGAAUCCUGAAAACAAGAUCUGAGAUUGGUAUAAAGCAUAUAGGAGCAUGCGCUCAGGUUUGUCCAGCUCUUUUACUUAUUAAUUCAAGUGAGGCCAGAUGCAAGAACAGUGCAGGUUCUCUGUGUCAAGUGCCAUCGUUUUGUUCUGUGUUUGUACAGCGCCUGGCACGAUACCGACCCAGUGCAUGACUAGGGCCCGUAGGCACUA